ensembl:snRNA U6 U6 spliceosomal RNA
GCGCUUGUUUGGUUUGGCAGCACAGAGACUAAAAAUUGAAACGAUACAGAGAUUAGCAUGGCCCCUAUGCAAAGACGAGACCCAAAUUUGUAAAGCGUUCCAUAUUUUU